UCAUGUACCAUUUUAUACUAGCAGCAAAACAGACCACCCCUCCCUUUUAUCCCUUUUGUUUGGGUUUUGACCUCAACCUUGGAGCGCCACCGCACCACCAUCGGACUUGGUGGCCGACCACGCGCAGAAAGGACACGAUGAGAGGCCGGAGGUGACAGAUGAGUGUCAGGCGCAUGGAGGGCUGGUGGUUGGUGCCCCGAACUAUGGUGGUGGUGCGCGUGAUGGCCAAGGCUGAGGGGAGUGGCGGCUGAAAACUUGGUGGCUAGGGUUAGUUGCUGAAAAAUUUUAAGAUAGUGGGCUGGGGCUGAUUUGAGCUCUGUAAUUGGGUCUAGAGUUUGGUUUUGGGCCGGGCAUAUUUGGGCCUCUACAGUUCUUAGAGGAGGUUAAGAGGAUGAGAAUUAGAGUAAUUAAAAUCAAUUAUACUCAAAAUUCAAUUA